UCCUUGGGAGAGUCAAAGGAAGGUGACCA
rnacentral:piRNA from 2 species